CCUUGUACACACCGCCCGUCACGCCAUGGGAGUCGUUUGGACCAGAAACGGCUGUGCUAACCGCAAGGAGGCAGGUCUUUAAGGUCUGAACGGUGACUGGGGCG
rnacentral:rRNA from 1 species